rnacentral:rRNA from 1 species
UGGAUGGUUUGGCUUUAGAGCUGAAGAAUGGCGUGGCAAGCUGCGAAAUGCCGCGGAUAGAGGCAUGCACUCUUAAACCCGCGGAUGCCAGAAUGCGUUAAGCAAAUACUUCCAAUUUAGGAAGAGGGAACGCAGGGAAUUGAAUCAUCUUAGUACCUGCAGGAAGAGAAAUCAAUAGAGAUGCCGUUAGUAAAGUCGAUCGAAAACGGUAAAGAUUAAAGUGAAUCCACUGUAGCAAUACAGUCGGAGAUGUGCUUUGUGCAUACUUCCUGAAUUUGAAUCUUAAAUGCCCUGGGAAGGGAUGCCGUAGAGGGUGACAGCCCCGUAAGAGUAAAAAGACAGGAAAAGCGCAAGAAGAGUAUCUUAUGUUGAAAAUCAUGAGAGAAUAUGGGAGCCAAAAGCUUCUAAAUCUAAAUACUACUAAAGUCCGAUAGCGAACAAGUACGGUGACGGAAAACAGAAAAGCACCUGCAAAAGGGAGUGAAAAGAACCUGAAAUUACAUAGUUAUAGUUUUCGUUUUGAAAAACGAGACAGGGAGUGUUUUUAAGUGGUGAGGUUAAAUGCUUUUUUAGCAUGGAGCCGAAGCGAAAGCAAGUCUUUGCAAUGCUUGUCAUGAGAGAGAGCGUGUUAAUAGCGCGUUUAAUCACUUGGAAACUACCUGAAACCGGACGAUCUAUUCCUGGGCAGGAUGAAAUGUGGCGAAAGCCGCAUGGAGGUCCGCAAUCGUCAGUAUACAGUCUCCGAGUGACUUGGGAAUAGGAGUGAAAUGUUAGUCGAGUCCGGUAAUAGCAGGUUCCUUCUGAAAUGGCCCGUAGGCCAGCCUCGUCCGAGAUGGAUAUGAGUGUAGAGAUACUGAUCAGGUGUUUGGGGGAGAAAUCCUUCGGCACUUUUUCAAACUCCGAAGCUUAUAUCGUCGUUGAAGGCGGGAGUGAGCGGUUUUGGUUAAUCUGAUAUCCGCAAAUGGGAAACAGCCCAAACAGGAGUUAAGGCCCCAAAAUAAUCUCUAAGUGUAAAUUAAGAUUGUCUUUUUCCUAAGACAAUAGGGAGGUAGGCUCAGAAGCAGCCAUCCUUUAAAGAAAGCGUAACAGCUCACCUAUCUAGGGAAAGGGCGUCGUAAAUGGACGGGACUAAGAGAUUUGCCGAUACUCUUGAUUAUUUUAAACAAAAUAAUAUAGUAAGAAGGUGUUGUGUGUGGUAAGAAGCAAUGGCGUAAGUUGUUGUGGACCGCAUUCAAACAAGAAUCCUGUCGUUAGUAGCAGAAAGUGAGGUGAGAAUCCUCAUCACCGAAAGGGCCAGGGUUUCUCGGCAAUGUUCGUCAACCGAGAGUUAGUCGAUCCUAAUUUUGCAUCCAACUGGAUGUAUGAGAAAGGGAAAGGCGUAAAUAUUCGUCUACUGAACAAAAAGUUGCGGCGACGCUUUAUUUAUUCCUGAUGAGUUCGGGAUAUGCCAAUACAAAUGCAUAAUUUGUACUAAAUCUAUAAUUCUGGGGAGUGUGGUAAUCACGAGAACCAGAAGAAAGGAUGAAUGGGUCUGCUUAUGCAGACUUUGGCUGAGUUCCGGACUUCUUAAAAAGGGAAUGAAAAUUGCUUUUUGUACAAUCGUACCAAGAACCAUUACUGGUGCCCCUGGGUGAAAAACCCAAGGUGUUUCAGGUUAAUCCAUCUUAAGGAAUUCAGCAAAUUAGCCCCGUAUCUUUGGUAGAAGGGGUGCCUAUAACCUGUAUUUCGGUACAGUGUCGUAGGCUUCAAUAACAAGGGGACCCCGACUGUUUAUCAAAAACGUAGCUGACUGCAAGCCUGAAAAGGUUAGUAUAGUCAGUGAUUCUUGCCCAGUGCUAGUAUCUAAAACUCCGGUUCAACGGAGCAAAGGACUGGUAAACGGCGGUCGUAACUCUGACGAUCAACUUAGGUUGUCAAUAAAUCUGGCCAUAUGCUGGAACUCCUCUAUAUAUUUUGAAUCCUGAGCAAGGGACAAUUUCAAAAUAUGAGGACAAUCAGCAGGAAACUAUUGGGAGGCAAUAAAUAGAGUUAAAAACAUAAUACUGCUUUAUUUAUAAUGAAUAUAUAUACUUUGCCAAAAAAAGGAAAAGAGAUAAAAUAUUAUCUUGCGGGAUUUGCUGAUGGAGAAUGUUGUUUCAAUGUAUCUAUAAAGAAACAAAAAACAGCGAAAUUUGGAUGGGUGUUAGAUCCUCUGUUUCAGGUAACUCAAAGAAAAGAACACAAAGAGUUGCUUGAACUAUUUAGAAAAAUAUUGAACUGCGGAAGAGUGAUUGAAAAACCCGGACAAAAAGAACUUUGUUUGUUUCUUGUAGACAACAGGAGGCAACUGAAUGAAAAAAUCAUUCCUUUUUUCAAUAAAUACAAACUAUUUACAAAAUGGGAUGAUUUUAAAAAAUUUGAGCAAAUCGUGCAUGCGUUAGAGAAAAAAGAACAUCAGGAUAAGGAAAAAUUCAAAAAACUUAUAAAAGAAGCAUUUCUGAUGAAUCAAAAUGGAAAACAAAGACGCUAUAAAUUAGAUGAUAUCUUAGAAAGUAUAAAUAUCUAACCCAAUGGGCUCCUCAGAGACUAUACGCCAGACAUCCAUACGAUGAAGAUAUAGUCCACCCCAUAUAGUAAUAUGUGGAAAAAGGUGCUUAAGGUAGCGUAAUCCCUUGCCGGUUAAUUGCCGGCCUGCAUGAAUAGAAUAACGAGUGUCCCACUGUCUCAAGAUGGAACCUGGCGAACGCAACAUUUUGGUGCAUAGUCCAAAGACUUCCAACGGGAAGCGAAGACCCCAUGGAGCUUUACUGCAGUCUGUUGUUGAAUUACGUUACUCAAUGCAUAGAGUAAGUAGGAGACUUCGAGACUUCUUUUUCGGGAGAAGUUUAGUCAAAAGUGUAACACUACUCAUUGAGAAAUGUGAUUCUUAUUCUUUAUUUAAAGAAGACCCCAAUUGAUGGGCAGUUUGGCUGGGGCGGCACACCUCUAACAACUUAUCAGAGGUGCCCAAUAGUAUCCUUAAGCGGGACGGAAAUCCGCUUUUAAGCGCAAAGGUAAAUGGAUGCUUGACAGGAUUCUGACCAACGAGGAAUCUUGACACGAAAGUGAGGCUUAGCGAACCCAUGACGUCUACUUUUGAGACGCAUGGAUGACAAAAAAGUUACCCUGGGGAUAAUUGUGUUGUCUCGAGCGAGAGUUCACAUCGACCUCGAGGCUUGCUACUCCGCUGUCGGCUUUUCUCAUCCUGGUUGUGCACAAGCAGCCAAGGGUGGGGGUGUUCACCCAUUAAAGAGGAUCAUUAGCUG